rnacentral:rRNA from 1 species
CUGAAUAUGGGGGGACCAUCCUCCAAGGCUAAAUACUCCUGACUGACCGAUAGUGAACCAGUACCGUGAGGGAAAGGCGAAAAGAACCCCGGCGAGGGGAGUGAAAAAGAACCUGAAACCGUGUACGUACAAGCAGUGGGAGCCCCACCACUAAGCCAGUGGUGAACUCCACAUACGCAUCCUUUGCUGAGGAUACGGUUAACGGAGCGAAAGCGACGUUCAACCGCAAAAAAAGAAGCAGAGGGGGCUUAGUGGUGGGGUGACUGCGUACCUUUUGUAUAAUGGGUCAGCGACUUAUAUUCUGUAGCAAGGUUAACCGCAUAGGGGAGCCGGAGGGAAACCGAGUCUUAAUUGGGCGUUAAGUUGCAGGGUAUAGACCCGAAACCCGGUGAUCUAGCCAUGGGCAGGUUGAAGGUUGGGUAACACUAACUGGAGGACCGAACCGACUAAUGUUGAAAAAUUAGCGGAUGACCUGUGGCUGGGGGUGAAAGGCCAAUCAAACCGGGAGAUAGCUGGUUCUCCCCGAAAGCUAUUUAGGUAGCGCCUCGUGAAUUCAUCUCCGGGGGUAGAGCACUGUUUCGGCUAGGGGGCCAUCCCGGCUUACCAACCCGAUGCAAACUGCGAAUACCGGAGAAUGUUAUCACGGGAGACACACGGCGGGUGCUAACGUCCGUCGUGAAGAGGGAAACAACCCAGACCGCCAGCUAAGGUCCCAAAGUCAUGGUUAAGUGGGAAACGAUGUGGGAAGGCCCAGACAGCCAGGAUGUUGGCUUAGAAGCAGCCAUCAUUUAAAGAAAGCGUAAUAGCUCACUGGUCGAGUCGGCCUGCGCGGAAGAUGUAACGGGGCUAAACCAUGCACCGAAGCUGCGGCAGCGACGCUGAUGCGUUGUUGGGUAGGGGAGCG